rfam:Burkholderiales bacterium RIFCSPLOWO2_12_FTLL_61_40 rifcsplowo2_12_scaffold_1920, whole genome shotgun sequence.
AAAGUUCAAUACUGGGAAGAAAUGGCGAAUCACUCAGACCCCAAGUCAUGCGUUGCACAUCGCGAGGUGUGGAUCGAAGCGUUGACAGGGGAAACCGGCAGGCCAGCCAUAGAGCCGCGAAAUCAUUCAAUCGGGUAUGCCCAUGACGUAGCUAUGUCAGAAGGCAAUACGGAACAUGACGUCAAUCGCAAGACAUGUUUUGAUCCCGCGCGGUCAAAGACCC